rnacentral:misc_RNA from 1 species
GCAAUUUUGGGGUCUAGGCCCUUCUCCUCUUGCCUAGCCAGGCCUUCCAUUGCCUCUCUCUCCCUAACCACAGGUGCAUUUCUCUACUAAAUAACCUAAAACCCAAAUCAGUUUUCCUCUUCAGAAUCCAAAAUUUGGCUCAUAUUUCUAGAUUUGAUUGCAUUUAUAUAGACCAGUUCUUGUUUCACUGUUUCUAUGUGCCUGGAUUCCGUACUUUUGGAUUCUUCGAUUUUGUUGAUUAACAUAGCAGGUGGGUUGUGGAGUUUUUCAGUGGAGCGUUAGUAAUGAUAUGUUUUUCGCUUAAUCCGCAGAGCAGGGUUGUGGGAAGAGGU